ensembl:lncRNA
CAUGCAACCCUCUCCUGACUCACACUAGGUCUGAGGUACAGAUGUUCAGGAGUUCCAACUGCCUGCUGCUGCUGUUGGAUGAGGGCUAUAAGAAGAGUCCAAGUACUCUCACUGAAGGAUCUCACAGCAUGGAAUGUACGUGCCAGGACACCUAGAACUUUCUGGAAUACAGAAAUGAUGGAAUAACUGAGGGAAUGGAAGUGAAGUAUGCAGCUGAAUUCCAGAAAAAACACGGUCCUGACAGUUCAUAUCUGAACCAGUCCUAGUCUGUCUUCCUAACUCUCCUACCAUCUACCCUGAAUGCUGCUUAUUAUACCCGUCACAGUCCUGAAGUGCUGCUGAAGUCCUGACCAACUGAAGGACCUGAAGAGCCUUCCUUCUCUGUACUUAUCAAAGGUA